GCUUGUCUCAAAGAUUAAGCCAUGCACGUGUCAGUAUAAGCUUUUAUACGGUGAAACUGCGAAUGGCUCAUUAAAUCAGUUAUAGUUUAUUUGAUGGUUUUAUACUUGGAUAACCCGAGUAAUUCUCUGGCUAACAAAUGCGGAAGACCCUUUACUGGGUUGUAUUUAUUAGAUCUUUACUAACUUUGUUGGUGAGUCAUGAUAAGAUAACAGAUCGCAUCGGGGUAACCCGGCGACGGAUCAUUCAAGUUUCUGCCCUAUCAACUUUCGAUGGUACGGUAUUGGCCUACCAUGGUGACCACGGGUAACGGGGGAUUAGGGUUCGAUUCCGGAGAGGGAGCCUGAGAAAUGGCUACCACUUCUAAGGAAGGCAGCAGG
rnacentral:rRNA from 1 species